UAGGCUCUUUUUCUAUUAGUAUAGAUAGAUAUAGAUAUAGAUAUAGAUUUUUCUAUUAGUAUAGAUAUAGAUUAAUAGAAAAUUGAUAAUUAAUGAUUUAGAAGUUGAUAAAACACUAGAUUUCGUUAGGAAAAUUUCUCCUUAUAAAUAAGGCCUCACACCCUCACAAUUCUUUACACCUCAAACAACUCUCUCUCUCUCUCGGAAUUCUUCACACCACAAACACCUCUCUCUUCACCUCUUUCUGUCUCUCUCUGAGCUAUUGUGAUGGCGACGAUGUGGAUGAUUGUGUAAUUUUGGUGAUCGUCGGCGGCGCCGAGGGCGAGCAGUCGGCAUGUGACAAGGGAGGCGAGUGGUGUGAAAAAAUAAUUUUGGCAACAGCCAUCGCCGCCGUAGUUCCCGUGACCGUUUUGGGAUGAGCAGUUGAAGUAUUGCAAGUGAUGUUAAACGAUGCCACCAGAGAGCAACCCGACCCGUCUCCAAAUGGAUAUGGAAUCACUACGUUUCCAUAUCGGGUAGGGCAACCGGAUCCCUGGGUUGAUGCUACUGAAAGAAGAAGGAAGAAGCUGAAGUGCACAAGAGAAUUCAUUUGACGAAGCUUACGUGCUCCUCUGGAACUAUGGCUUUCAACUUCCUCUUGCCAUCAAAACCAGUCGCAAAAAGCACGACAUCAGCAUCCAAUUUGGUCCCAUCCUCGAACUGGACUCCUUCGUCUCAAAACCACCACUUUGAGGCAGAUCUUUUGAUGACAAUGUUGCCCUUGUCGGCCUCGGAGAAAUAGUUGUGAGACAGGAUAGCUAUCUGGCAAGACGCGUAGUCCUCCUCAAAAGGGUGCUCGGGUUUCAGCCCAUACUUCUCCAAGGGAAGCUUCCAUGUUAGGUAGGAUUCAACAGCCUUUGACUAUCCUUCUCUGUGAUAACAUAUAUAUUUGUUCAGAAAGUAGAAGAGAAAAUUGAAGAUGUUAUUUUUUUAAAUAAAAUAAAAAUAAUUAUAUGUGGAUUAUAAUAACAAUUGGUGUAAAAAAUGAGUUAUAUCAGAAUUUUUGUUAUAUAUUGACUUUCUAUCUUAGAAAAUAGCCUAUUAAAACGGAAAUUUUAGACGUGGGAGAAUUUCCUUGUACCUCACAUAAAGAUUGUGAUGAGAAAUUUUAGACGUGGCAGAUUUUUAGUUGCAACUGAAAUUGUAGCUUUGCUCAAAACAUGCCUUAAUAAAAGGUGCAUGAAUAAAUCAAAGCUCAAGUGAGAUGCUUGUAUUUUGCCCCUUUAGAGAAAGGAUGAGAUCAUCCAAAUCGUACUCUUCCGUCCAAAUUUUACAGGUCAUAGUAUUUCCUUACUUGGAUUUAAAUGUUCCGUUUUAAUAGGCCAUUUUCUAAAAUAGAAAGUCAAUACACAACAAAAAUUCUCAUAUAACUCAUUAUUACACCAAAUGUUAUUAUAAUCCACAUAUAAUUAUUAUUUUUAUUUCAUUUAAAAAAUAACAUCUUCAAUUUUCUCUUCUACUUUCUGAACAAAUAUAUAUGUUAUCACAGAGAAGGGCAGUCAAAGGCUGUUGAAUCCUACCUAACAUAGAAGCUUCCCUUGGAGAAGUAUGGGCUGAAACCCGAGCGGCGAGCACCCUUUUGAGGAGGACUACGCGUCUUGCCAGAUGACGAUCCUGCCUCACAACUAUUUCUCCGAGGCCGACAAGGGCAACAUUGUCAUCAAAAGAUCCGCCUCAAAGUGGUGGUUUUGGGACGAAGGAGUCCAGUUCGAGGAUGGGACCAAAUUGGAUGUUGAUGUCGUGCUUCUUGCGACUGGUUUUGAUGGCAAGAGAGGAAGUUGAAAGCCAUAGUUCCAGAGGAGCACGUAAGCUUCGUCAAAUAAACUUGAAUUAUUGUGUGUUUCCUUAAUUCAAUUUCAGCUUUGUUUUAUUAAUUGAACGGAAGAGGUAUUGAAAAUGUUGAUCUAAAAGUGUAGAUGGGUAUUUAAUUCAAAUUGAAUUUUACCAAUUAUCUAAUUUUCUUUAUUGGAAGUGGGCUUAUGUGGCCCAUUAAGAUUAUUUUAAUCACAGUGUAAAAUGGGCCGUCUCUUUUUUUUUAUAUACACAAUAAACUUGAGGGUGAUUCUAUUCAUAGCCCCCAUUUUAUUCCA